rnacentral:lncRNA from 1 species
AAUAUUAUACUAGAACUAAUUCUAAGUAUCUAAAGUUCAUUAUUCUUCAAUCUUCGUUGCUCUUCAAUCUUUGUUUUCUAAAUUGUAUGAAAUACCGAGUAUAUAUGGUUCGAUAUAGUCUACAGGUUGAGUACAUGUUCCUAAAUUUAACAACACCAUGACUUGUGAGUGUUACUUCGAGAAAAUGUUCUUGCCAAAUAUUUACUCCUGCCAAGAAAUACGAAAUGCGUAUACUCGUAAGCGUUACAUACAGGAACACCAAAUCUGUAGUCUCGCGAUCUCAAGUGAGACCAAGUCAAAUAAUAUAGUUGUUCAAACCGUUUCUAGGUUCCACGCCUCUGGAUAUUCUCAAAUUUCUUUUCCAGCGCGAAAUCUGUUUCAAAGUCUUAACGCCUUUUACCAUAAUUUCGG